rnacentral:rRNA from 1 species
UACGUAGGGGGCAAGCGUUGUCCGGAUUUAUUGGGCGUAAAGAGCGUGUAGGCGGCCAGGUAGGUCAGCUGUGAAAACUCGAGGCUCAACCUCGAGACGUCGGUUGAAACCACCUGGCUAGAGUCCGGAAGAGGAGAGUGGAAUUCCUGGUGUAGCGGUGAAAUGCGCAGAUAUCAGGAAGAACACCCGUGGCGAAGGCGGCUCUCUGGGACGGUACUGACGCUGAGACGGCGAAAGCGUGGGGAGCGAACAGG